rnacentral:tRNA from 1 species
GCCUGGGUGGCUCAGUGGGUUAAGCAUCUGACUUCGGCUCAGGUCAUGAUCUCACAGUUCAUGGGUUUGAAUCCCGCAUUGGGCU